AUUGAACGCUGGCGGCAUGCCUUACACAUGCAAGUCGAACGGCAGCACGGGGCAACCUGGUGGCGAGUGGCGAACGGGUGAGUAAUGCAUCGGAACGUACCUUUCAGUGGGGGAUAACGUAGCGAAAGUUACGCUAAUACCGCAUAUUCUGUGAGCAGGAAAGCAGGGGAUCGCAAGACCUUGCGCUGAUUGAGCGGCCGAUGUCAGAUUAGCUAGUUGGUGAGGUAAAGGCUCACCAAGGCGACGAUCUGUAGCGGGUCUGAGAGGAUGAUCCGCCACACUGGAACUGAGACACGGUCCAGAGUCGUACGGGAGUCAGCAGUGGGGAAUUUUGGGCAAUGGGGGCAACCCUGAUCCAGCCAUGCCGCGUGAGUGAAGAAGGCCUUCGGGUUGUAAAGCUCUUUCGGCCGGGAAGAAAUCGCACGGGCUAAUACCCUGUGUGGAUGACGGUACCGGAAUAAGAAGCACCGGCUAACUACGUGCCAGCAGCCGCCGUAAAAC
rnacentral:rRNA from 1 species